GUUUUUUUUUUUUUCCUUUUUCUUCCAGAGAGGUGAGCAUCUGCAGAAUGCUGUCUGGCACACUGUGUUCAUUAGAAUAAGCAAAAAUAGCAUCCCACCUACUGAACAGCUGUCAUUGAUGUUCAGAUUGCUGUUUUGCUUUUUUCUUUUCUUUGUUUUUAAAACAUCAUUAAAUAAGCAUGGAUCUCCCCAAAGAAGCUCUAACGUUUGAUUGGAUAAUUCUCAGGAUGUAUUUUCUGAAAGGUCAGUGAUUUUUUUUUUCUUUCAGAACAGUGAUUCUUCAGUGGUGGUCUGAAGACCACGGGUGUUCCUUGAGGAGCCAAUGAGGGAACUGAAAUCCGUGAGCUUUAAACCGCUUGCUUGAAGACACGGCUGACAUUUGUGGCUGAAUCCUAAUGUAGUUAAUUUUCCUUUCAAUGGGUCAACUUGCAACUGUUAGGAGUCUUCGAAACCUUUUGUGUGAAUCCAGGAGGGAAAAUUGUCUGGCAAAGUCUGAUAAGCAUCGUGUCAAGAGCACAUUUGUACUCUGGAUGGGAGGUGAAGGGAAGAGCAGCAUCAUCUGUGCAGCCUGGUGAAACGGUGUUUACGACAGUCUACACGGCACUACUGGGUAUGCUGUCUCCUUGGAUUGUGUCAUAUUUUUAACCCAGUGGGAAAUUCAUAGGAUCCUCUUGACUCUGUAAAAACUGUGGGACAAUUCAGUCACUUUUACCAAAUCCUCAUUUCCUUUUCAAACCCUGUUUACUAACUGAUGCCAAAUAGUAUUAUAGUAAUUGGGAAAUAAAGGAAGUCCCUCUCCUGCUUAUUCCUUCCAAAGUACAUUUCUUUACCUUUUCAUGGAGGUUUGGUAGGAUACUUACAUAUUGUAGAGGGAGGUGGAGAAAAUACUCAUAUAUUGUAGAGGGAGGUGGAGAAGGAGGAGGAGGUCUUUCAUGGACCUACAGAAAAUGAAGUUAAUCAUGGUUGGAAAGCCUCCCCUUAAAAACGCAGGUUUUUUGGUUUUUUUUUUUUUUUUUUUUUUUUUUUUAAGGAGUCUUACUCUGUCACCUAGGCUGGAGUGCAAUGGCAUGAUCUCGGCUCACUGCAACCUCCACCUCCUGGGUUCAAGCCAUUCUCCUGCCUCAGCUUCCGGAGUAGCUGGGACUACAGGCAGGCGCCAUCAUGCCUAGCUAAUUUUUUUGUAUUUUUAGUAGACACGGGGGUUUCACUAUGUUGGCCAGGCUGGUCUCGAACUCCUGACCUUAGGUGAUUCACCCGCCUCGGGCUCCCAAAGUGCUGGGAUUAAGGCAUAAGCCACCACUCCCCGUCCUAAAAAUGCAGUUCUAAAAAUGAAUAAAAAAUAACAAUUCAUUCCAGUAGUUCCUGAGGCCCAGGGCAUCAACAAGAGAUCAGAACUAUAUGGAAUAAGCCCACAAUGUUGAAAAAUUUAGGCUGAAUGGAAGCUGGAUCCCUGAAGCUAAUCUCAGCGAUUUAAAGUAGAGAAUAAGGAUGGAAUGCAUCCCCUCCAUUAGUCUUGAAGUGAAACCACAGGAACUCUAUUCAUGAGAAGUAAAAUUAGCUGUAUGUUCAGUUUUCAUGACAUUUGUUACUGCACUUAAGCAUUCCACAGCAUGACUUAAUUGCUGCUGAAACACCUAAGAGGAAAGAGAAGGAAGGAAAAUGAAAUGUUUGAUCUUUGAAUGACAAAAUAGUCACGAAUCUGGGAACAUUAAGUAACUAGAGAUGGAGUUAGCGUCACAAGCAACACACAACAAAAGUCUUGUGUCUGGCGAUAAUAAAGUUCCCUUAACUGAUUCAUCACUUCUUCCCUUGCUAUAAUUAUGAACAUUCUUCAAAAAAGUUCUGACAUUAAAAUUUCAAACUCUUGUUACUUCUGCUUUUCUAUCUCAUAAUUAGAAAAAUUUAUUAAUUCCAAUUUUAGUUCUGGGUUUCUAAAAAUUUCCAGGAAUAAAACCUAGGGAGAAAGAUCCUCUCAUUGUAUAUAUCUUCUAGGGGAUUCACAUUCUGGGUGCUUCACUUAGACAUGGUAAGUUGAUAACAUAGGGAAACAAAAGAUCUAAAGAAAGUAGCCAGCCUCUCCCAGAGAUUGCAAACCAGCAUGCAGCCAGCUGGCAGACACUUUGUGGGGAGGUAGGGACUGGAACAGUGUUAAAAGAAGUGGCACCGGCACGGUGGCUCACGCCUGUAAUCCCAGCACUUUGGGAGGCUGAGACGGGUGGAUCACCUGAGGUCAGGAGUUCAAGACCAGCCUGGCCAACAUGGUGAAACCCCAUCUCUACUAAAAAUACAAAAAUUAGCCAGGUAAUCCCCGUUACUUGGGAGGCUGAGGCACGAAAAUCACUUGAACCCAGGAGGCAAAGGUUGCACUGAACUGAGAUUGCGCCACUGCACUCCAGCCUGGGUGACAGACUCUGUCUCAAAAGAAAAAUGGCAUAAAUGCCAUUUAGGCAGAGCAAAAGCUCGGUUGUUUGCCACAGUCCUCCCCCAUUUUUACUGUCUUACAUCUAGAUCGCCUGCUUUUUUCUGUUGCCUGCUUACAGGCUUUGAGUUCGCAGUUUAUGCACACAUUUGCUGAUGCUCCCCAGAUUUUCUUACUUUUGGUAUGUAUUCAAAUCAACCCAUUUCUUUAAGACUUAAUUCAGGUGUCCCCUCUUCCACAAAGUCCUUCCGGCCCUCUGGUCUCACCUGGCCACGCCUAUCACCCCUAUUCAGUGCCCUUCAGUUUUAGUUCUUACUUGUUCUCUAAUUUGUUCAGGAGUAACCAAGUGGUAAACGCCCAGAGGGCCAGGUUGUGAUUCACUGUUCUUGUAUUUUGACCCAGGAGAGUGGUAGCUGCGGUGUGGGAGCUCAGGUUAGCUCACAACAGUUUUUUGACAGAUGGGAAUGCAGGAAUCAGCAAAGUGAGGGAGUGUGGACCCUGGCACAGCCCAGUGGGCUUGCAUUGGUUUCAAAAGGAAAAUGAAAAGUUCUGUAAAGUCUUCAGGACACCUAUGACAGAAAUAUUCUCUUGGAAGUUCAACAUUGAUAUUUUGGUUCUUAGUAGAAUAGUUAAAACACGUUUCUGCUUAAAAUCUCUAAGUACUGAGGGAUGACAACAGGUAGGAUGAACAUAGAAAUACAAGCAAUUUCGUAAUAUCACCUAGGAAAGCCAUAGCAUUGAGCUUAAGUAUUUGGUGACUGUAUCAGUUUCCUGUGACUGCUCUUACCUCCUUGCUUAUUUCAAAGUCUGAAGGGUUUCAUGUUGGGUUUAGAAAAGCUGUAGAGCGGCGCCACCUGAUGGUUACUACCCAGAGUGCCUGAACUGACCUUGCAAUUUCAAACGCAGUAUCUUGGCUAGCUCAGAAGACUUCUUCCUAAUGCUUUACAUGAAAAGAGCAAACUGAAAUACGUUCCUCUUGGAAAAUCAGAAACAUAAAGAAAAUGUUUUAAAUUUUGACAGAAGCAAACCCACUCAUAUACAGAAUAAUCUACCACCAAAAAAGAGUUUGUAUAUGAUAUUCAUUGAAUACUAUUAGAUUUCAAAUAGGUAAUAAAUAAGAUUUUAUUAUCCAGUUUUUCUUUCUCCAUUUUUUAAAAGCAGAUGUUUUUUCUAUAUAGAACGCUCCUUAACCAAUUGUUUGAUUAUACCCCUCACCCCUUCCAACAAACACAAUGUAUUUAUUUAUUAAAAAAAUUUAUCACUUGCCCUGUAGAAUUUUCCACAUUUUGGUUUGCGCGAAUUGCUUCCUCCAAUAUGUUUAACUUGUUUGUAUUCCUUACAUUUCCUAUAAACUAGUAGUAAGAUCUCGAUUAGAUUUUAUUAAAUCCCAGUUCUAUUUUUGGCAAGAUAAUAGGUGAUACUCUAUGAUGCUAUAUUAAUCAAAUCCUGAAGCACGUGCCUAGCUGUCCUACUUAUCAUGAUAUUAAGAUUGAUUUGUGGGUAGAGGUAAUGUCAGUUGGAAUCCUCUAUUAUAAAGUUCCCCAAUAACUUUUCAUUGAGAGUUUGGAUAUCUAUUGAUGAUCAUUGUCUCCAUCCAUUGUUUCAUGAGGACUGCAAAAUAGUGAUGGUAUAAGUUUUAUUGUUACUCAUAUACCUAUUAGCUGGGAUUUUCUCAUCAUCUAUUUAGUUAGCUUGAAAUACAGUUCAAACAGAAAAGAAAGAACAAAUAUGUGAUCAAUCUCUUUAAAAUAUAUAUUUAGAAUAACAAAAUAGUGUCCGGCAACCUUCAAAGGUGAGCAGUGAUGUUUUGUGUUUCAUUAGGAAUUCAUAGAUUUUUAUAUUUGAUGUAUUUUAAUCUAUUGCAAGCAUUAUUCUUGUUGAUGCCCAGAUGGUCCCACAUUUGACAAAUGCAUAUGUUUUUAACAUAAAUACUCUAAUAUGUGGCAUAGUUGUUAAGAAAGCAGGCAUACUGUAAUGUUCUCAGGAGAAAUUAUUACCACUCUCAAGGAAGGCGAUUUAGCAAUAUGUAUUAGGAGCCUUAAAAAACGUAUGCCCUUUGAUUUAUACUCUAGGAUCAAACAUAAAGCAGCCUUUUCUAUGAAAAUAAUCAGGAACAUAGCUAAUAAUUGUAUAAAGAUAUUAAUUCUAGUGAAAAGUUAGAAAGAGAGGUCGGCGGGGCGCGGUGGCUCACGCCUGUAAUCCCAGCACUCUGGGAGGCUGAGGCGGGUGGAUCACGAGGUCAGGAGAUCGAGACCAUCCUGGCUAACACGGUAAAAAAAAAACCCCUCUCUACUAAAAAUACAAAAAGUUAGCCGGGCGUGGUGGCACGUGCCUGUAAGUCCUGGCUACUUGGGAGGCUGAGGCAGGAGAAUCACUUGGACCUGGGAGGCGGAGGUUGUAGUGAGCCAAGAUCGUGCCACUGCAUUCCAGCCUGGGCAACAGAGCAAGACUCUGUCUCAAAAAAAAAAAAAAAAAAAAAAAAGAAAAGAAAGAAAGAAAAAGAAAAAAGAAAAAGAUGUCAAUAAGUAUGAUAAUAUACUGUAGCUACCAUAUUAAAAAUCCAGUUUUUUGAAGAAUUCUUGUUAUCAUGGGGAUUUUUUAUAUUACAUUAAUUGAAAGAAGACUACCAAAACUGAAUACAUGGUGUGAUCCCAGCUAUUAUAUAUAAUAUGUAUAUAAACAAAAGACUAGGAAGUCAUACUUCAAAAUAUUAAUAGUUAUAUCUGGAUAGUGGGAUUACAGGAUAUUUUUAUGUCUCAUUUGUAUAGUUCUUUACUUUAAAAAUUAUUUCCAGUAUUAUGUAUCACAAUAUGUCUUAUUAAAAAUCAGCUAGUAUUAAAGGUUUUUCUGGACAAUGUUAAUUUGCUAUUGUUGGAAUAAUAAACCAAGUAAGUCAUUUAUAAUAAACAAGUAGAAUGUCUCCUUAUGUGUUAGUGAAAAUUGUGCAAGAAAAAAAAGAACACUUUUCCCUCAGCCAAAUGAUCCUUCUGAUUUAGUUAGAGAAUGAAAACAGAACUAAGCAGGAUUUGAAAUAAAACAUGCAGGAGCCUUCCUGAGAUAGGUUAUAUUUUUCCUUCUAGAAUCUGCUCAUUGCAAUUAAUUAGGCUUCUCCAAGAGUAAAUUUUCCCUGUACUAUCCAAUAAGUCAAUGUGAUAUUCAUCUUGAUUCUUACUGUGAAUGAGAGCAUCAACAUAGAUUAAGAUGGAUGUAUCUGCCAUUUGUAAUGAGAUUCCACAAGGUAUCUCCACCCACCAGUUCCUUUCUGAUACUGGCAAUUUCUGAUUUUUGAUAUCCUAAUGUCUAGUUGUCACUUCCAAAAGUCUGAAAACCUCUAGUCCAAACCAUUUAUUAAUCCUUAAUCUCUGCCUUCCCCUCUUAUUACCAAACAGGUAUUCAAUGUCCAAAAUUAGAUAGCCCCAAUGAGAUAAAAGAAAAUAAAAUUCACAAAUAAUAUUGUCAAAACAACUUUUAACAUGCUAUUAUAAGUUCUAUUUCCUGGAAGCUCUUUGGGGACAAGGUUCAUGUCUAGUUUAAUUUUUUUCUUUUCUUUUCUUUUUUUAGACGGAGUCUCUCUCUGUUGCCCAGGCUAGAGUGCAGUGGCGUGAUCUUGGCCCACGGCAACCUCCGUCUUCUGGGUUCAAAUGAUUCUCCUGCCUCAGCCUCCCAAGUAGCUGGGAUUACAGGUGCCCACUACAAUGCCUGGCUAAUUUUUUUGUAUUUUUAGUAGAGAAGGGGUUUCACUGUGUUGGCCAGGCUGGUCUCGAACUCCUGACCUCAGGUGAUCCACCCACCUCGGCCUCCCAAAGUGCUGGGAUUACAGGUGUGAGCCACUGCAUCCAGCUAGUUUAAUCUUUAUUUCCUUUGCAUAUAGGACAGUGCUCAUUUCGUGAGUAUUUAUUGAUGAUAGAACUGAGAUGAGGAGGAGGCAGAAGAAAGGGAGAAGGAAUGCAUUUCUGGACAGGGUGACUAUAUGAAAAAAGGUAUGAGCUUUGAGUGCUAGAGGCAGUGAGGAGACCAGCUCUAAGAAGAAGGAUGAUGCAAGGGGAUUAUAGAAAUUAAGGCUGUGGCACCCAAAUGCCCAUCGAUCAAUGAGUGGAUAAAGAAAUUGUGGUAUACAUUCACGAUGGAAUACUACUCAGCUAUAAAAAGGAAUGACUUAAUGGCAUUCACAGUGACCUGGGUGAGAUUGGAGACUAUUAUUCUAAGUGAAGUAACUCAGGAAUGGAAAACCAAACAUUGUAUGUUCUCACUCAUAAGUGGGAGCUAAGCUAUGAGGAUGCAAAGGCAUAAGAAAGACACAAAGAACUCUGGGGAUUCAGAGGGAAAGGGUGGGAAGGGGGUGAGGGAUAAAAGACUGCAAAUUGGGCUCAGUGUAUACUCCUCGAUUGAUGGGUCAAAAUCUCACAAAUCACCACUAAAGAACUUACUUAUGUAACUAAAUCCCACCUGUUCCCAAAAAACCUAUAGAAUUAAAAAGAUCUUUUAAAAAAAGGAAAUUAAAUUUGUGGCAAAUGUGACAAGACUGUGGAGGGUCCCAACAUUUAGCUGAGGAGUUUGUCUAUAGUCUGAGUCAGUGAGAGACCAGAUUGAAAUCCACCCUAUUACAUGAAACAUUCCUAAAUUCCUUAAUGCUUCAGAUCAAGUAAUUGGUUUAUAAGAGAAACUUGGUGCCAAGGGAAAGAUAAACAUUAAACUUAAAAAAAAUGGUCUGUAAUUAUGUAGAAAUGAACCCAUCACUUUGAUGGGAUUAGAUACAUUUGUUUUUAGGUAUAAUUUACAUGGAGUAAAAUUAGCCCUUUUUAGUGCAUAGUUCUACCAGUUUUAACAAAUGUAUACAGUAGUGUAACCACCACCACAAUCAAGAUACAGAAGAGUUACAUCAUAUGAAAAAAGUUUCCUCAUGCCUCCGUAGUCAACCUCUCUAACCAGCCCUUGGCAACCAAUGAUUCGCUUUCUGUCCUAAUAGUUUUGUCUUUUCCAGACUGUCUUAUGAGUGGUAUCAUACAGUAUGUAGGCUUUUGAGUCUGGCUUCUUUCACUUAGGAUAAUGCAUUUGAGAAUAAUCCAUGUGGUUGCAUGCCUCAGUUCAUUCAUUUUUAUUGCUGAGUCAUAUCUCAUUGUAUGGAUAUACCUACAGUUUGCUUAAUCAUUAAUUCAUAAGUAAAGGACAAAUAUUUCUUUUUAACGUAACACAUAUAACUAAUGUGGUACCUUCCAUUUUUUUUUUUUUUUUUUUUUUUUUUUUUUUUUUUUAGACAGGUUCUUGUUCUGUCACCCAGGCUGGAGUGGGUUGUGUUCAUGGCUCACUGCAGCCUCAAACUCCUGGGCUCAAACUAUCCUCCCACCUCAGCCUCCUGAGUAGCUAGACUACAGGUGUGUGCCACCACCCCAGCUAAUUUUUUGAUUGUUUUGUAGAGAUAGAGUCCCACUAUGUUGUCCAGGCUGGUCUUGAACUCAUGGGCUCAAGCAGUCCUCUCCCCACCAUCUCCCAAAGUUUUGGGAUUACAAACAUGAUGGUGCAACCAUGGCUAGCCCAAAAUAAUAUUUAUAAGGUUUAGGGAUUUAUUUACUAAUUGUCAAAGACAGGUGAAGACAGGAAAAAGAGAAAAUGCAAAUAGAGUAUGCAUUAAUUUCAGAAAUGUGAAUGUCACUGCCCAGUAGACUCGUUUUCAGAGCAGUCAAUUUUUUUUUUUACUAGUGUAUCUUUUAAUUGUCAUUUAAUAGCUACCCACCACAGCUGCCCCCCACCCUUCCCUUUAAUGACGACGUUUGCAGGCUUCAGGGGACCAGGGAACAAAGCUGGGGCCUGGUAGCCCCACUACGCUGCCAGCCGGGAAGAACAAGUCACAAUUACAAAUUAUCACAACAAUUAGCGCCUGUACUUGGGGGAUCUGCAAAUUGAGGAGGCUCCAGCUCCUCAUUGUACAGGGGUCUAUUUGGCAGUGACCUUGCUCUGC
rnacentral:lncRNA from 1 species